rnacentral:rRNA from 1 species
GGUUUGAUCCUGGCUCAGAUUGAACGCUGGCGGGAUGCUUUACACAUGCAAGUCGAACGGCAGCACGGACUUCGGUCUGGUGGCGAGUGGCGAACGGGUGAGUAAUGUAUCGGAACGUGCCUAGUAGCGGGGAUAACUACGCGAAAGCGUAGCUAAUACCGUACGCCCUUCGGGGGAAAGCGGGGGACCUUUCGGGCCUCGCACUAUUAGAGCGGCCGAUAUCGGAUUAGCCAGUUGGUGGGUAACGACCACCAUGGCGACGAUCCGUAGCUGGUUUGAGAGAUAUCGACCAGCCACACUGGGACUGAGACACGGCCCAGACUCCUACGGAGGCAGCAGUGGGGACUGACAAUGGGGGAAACCCUGAUCCAGCCAUCCCGCGUGUGCGAUGAAGGCCUUCGGGUUGUAAAGCACUUUUCGGUAGAAGAAACGGCACGGGAUAAUGACCCCGCGCAACUGACGGCAUUCCGCAGUCGCUGCACCGGCUAACUACGUGCCAGCAGCCGCGGUAAUACGUAGGGUGCAAGUAAUCGGAAUUACCGGGCGUAAAAGUGCGCAGGCGGUUCGGAAAGAAAGAUGUGAAAUCCCAGAGCUUAACUUUGGAACGCAUUUUUAACUACCGAGCUAGAGUGUGUCGAGGGAGGUGGAAUUCCGCGUGUAGCAGUGAAAUGCGUAGAUAUGGUGGAUAACACCGAUGGCGAAGGCAGCCUCCCUGGGAUAACACUGACGCUCAUGCACGAAAGCGUGGGGAGCAAACAGGAUUAGAUACCCUGGUACACGUCUCAAACGAUGUCAACUCAGCUGUUGGGGCCUGGCCCUGGUAGCGCAGCUAACGCGUGAAGUUGACCGCCUGGGAGUACGGUCGCAAGAUUAAACCCAAGAAUUGAUGGGAUCAUCAAAGCGUGGAUGAUGUGGAUUAAUUGAUGCAACGCGAAAACCUUACCUACCCUUGACAUGUCUGGAACCCGAAGAGAUCGGGAGUGCCUGCAAGAGAACUGAACACAGGUGCUGCAUGGCUGUCGUCAGCUCGUACGGAUGUUGGGUUAAGUCCCCCGCAACGAGCGCAACCCUUGUCAUUAGUUGCUACGAAAGGGCACUCAUCGAGACUGCUGGUGACAAACCGAGGAAGGUGGGAUGACGUCAAGUCCUCAUGGCCCUUAUGGGUAGGGCUUCACACGUCAUACAAUGGUCGGGACAGAGAGUCGCCAACCCGCGAGGGGGAGCCAAUCCCAGAAACCCGAUCGUAGUCCUGGAUCGCAGUCUGCAACUCGACCGGUGAAGUCGGAAUUCGCUAGUAAUCGCGGAUCAGCAUGUCGGUAGGAACAUGUUCCUGGUCUCGAAGCACACCGCCCGUCACACCAGGGCGGUUUUACCAGUAUAGUUACCCAACCGUAAGGAGGGCGAUUACCACGGUAGGAUUCAUGACUGGGGAAGUCGUAACAAGGUAGC